GAUGAACGCUGGCGGCGUGCCUAAUACAUGCAAGUCGAGCGAACGGACGAGAAGCUUGCUUUUCUGAUGUUAGCGGCGGACGGGUGAGUAACACGUGGAUAACCUACCUAUAAGACUGGGAUAACUUCGGGAAACCGGAGCUAAUACCGGAUAAUAUUUUGAACCGCAUGGUUCAAAAGUGAAAGACGGUCUUGCUGUCACUUAUAGCUGGAUCCGCGCUGCAUUAGCUAGUUGGUAAGGUAACGGCUUACCAAGGCAACGAUGCAUAGCCGACCUGAGAGGGUGAUCGGCCACACUGGAACGGAGACACGGUCCAGACGCCUACGGGAGGCAGCAGUAGGGAAUCUUCCGCAAUGGGCGAAAGCCUGACGGAGCAACGCCGCGUGAGUGAUGAAGGUCUUCGGAUCGUAAAACUCUGUUAUUAGGGAAGAACAUAUGUGUAAGUAACUGUGCACAUCUUGACGGUACCUAAUCAGAAAGCCACGGCUAACUACGUG
rnacentral:rRNA from 1 species